AGUGAACGCUGGCGGUAGGCCUAACACAUGCAAGUCGAACGGCAGCACAGUAAGAGCUUGCUCUUACGGGUGGCGAGUGGCGGACGGGUGAGGAAUACAUCGGAAUCUACUUUUUCGUGGGGGAUAACGUAGGGAAACUUACGCUAAUACCGCAUACGACCUACGGGUGAAAUCAGGGGAUCUUCGGACCUUUCGCGAUUGAAUGAGCCGAUGUCGGAUUAGCUAGUUGGCGGGGUAAAGGCCCACCAAGGCGACGAUCCGUAGCUGGUCUGAGAGGAUGAUCAGCCACACUGGAACUGAGACACGGUCCAGACUCCUACGGGAGGCAGCAGUGGGGAAUAUUGGACAAUGGGCGCAAGCCUGAUCCAGCCAUACCGCGUGGGUGAAGAAGGUCUUCGGGUUGUAAAGCCCUUUUGUUGGGAAAGAAAAGCAGCAGGUUAAUACCCCGCUGUUCUGACGGUACCCAAAGAAUAAGCACCGGCUAACUUCGUG
rnacentral:rRNA from 1 species